GUAACAGGAGAGAGGACAGCACCUGUGUCCUGGCUGGAAUAGGUCCAUGGAGGUCUUGGCUUUUUGCUCACAGAAAGAGAAAUCAGCCCAAGUGUCUUCUCGUGCUCUGGAUUGGUGUUUUUCAAACUGUGGAGUCAUGAAAUUGGUUCAGAGGAUCAUGAACCAGCGUUAAAAGAAAAUAGGCUAGAAACGGAGUGCAUCCCACAUAGUGGAGGUACCCAGGCUGUAAUUCCUGACCCACCACUAUGUGAAACAGGGAACACCCACAAUUGCAUAAAGCCAAGCUUGGAAGAAAUGGAACAUCCAGCAUACCAAUAAGCACUUCCAGGAGGUAAACUCAGGAGGGGUUCCCUCUGGCUGAAAAAUUCAGGAAGUUGCUUUGGAGGUGACAAGACUUGAGAACAGAGGGGACAGGCAAUGUUUGGAAGCACUUUCCUGCUCAGAAGAGCCCUUUGCCUCCAUUUAUCUGAACCCUCUCCAAGCAAACCCUGUGGUAUGAGUUAUCUUUGGAAGUAGCCACCUGUGUCCUGUCUUGGAAGGACAGUUUGUACCAGGCUCACUGUUGGUCCAUGCUGCAGCAGAGAUGUCUGGGAGCUGGUGUUUCAGCUUUGGCAAGUGGUUCUUUUUGCAUUACUAAAGGUCACUCCUACCUGACUCAUGUUCUAGUUUGGUUUCCUGCAGAAGCAAACUCCAAUUUAAGGACUAUCCAGGAAGCACAAAUGAGUGACUGGGAAAAGUGAGACAGAGGAGAGAAAAAACCCCAUAAAAGAUGCUUGGAGGCAAAAACAGAGUGAUUGGAGAGUAAUGGGGGAAAUGCAAAGUACAUCUAUGUCUGGAUUGAGAAUCUCUGAGCAACAGAGGAAGAAUCCUAUGCCAGCACCUAGUGGAUUUAAAAAGCUUGUUCUGCCAAUCUUCUAUUUGCCUUCACAUGGAGACCUUUAAAAAGAAGAGAAGUGUAAAGGGGGAAAAAAAAAAGGAAAGAAAAUGGAAUACAUGGACAUGAUAACAGUUUGAAAUAGAACUGAAAUGACUUCGUUUUCCCUAGACGUCGGACUAUGUAGCACUUUAUAGUCCAUGUACUAAGUAGGCAGUGAGACUUGUGUUCUUGAAGAGCAAGGUUGGCCCAUUUGGGUGGAGCUCAGUGUAACGCCUCUUUUCUCCACUAAAUGGCACUGCUAGUCUACUGGACUGGAGUGUUGUGGCACUUUUAGGUGCAUAUGUGCAUGUGUGGGAGUGGUGGAAAUGGCAUCACCCAGCUACCCAGUCUCUAUUAUCAGAACUCUGUUCUCUCCAAUCAGCAAUUGCACACACCGUCCUCUGUCCCCCCGCUUUUUCACUGUCCGUGACCAGGCCCCAGGCAGUACCUCUCUCCCAAGUUUUGUCUCAGUUGUGGCUGUUUUCCCCGGCCCCUUACUUCUGAGGGACUGCGGCUUUGACCUGUUCUGCCUCUCUGUAGGAGGAUCUCAGCAAGCAAUGGUAAAAUGUCAGCUGCAGCCAGGAACACUUGCUGGACCCUGCUGCUGCCAGUGCUCUGAGACUGUGGCCAGGUGC